rnacentral:snRNA from 1 species
UAUCUCUUCGGAUAUACAUAUGCUAAAAUUGGAACGAGACAAAGAAGAUUAUCAUGGCCCCUACAAAAAAAGAAUAACACGCAUAAUCGUGAAGCGUUUUAGGGGUGU